GACGAACGCUGGCGGCGUGCUUAACACAUGCAAGUCGAACGGGAUUUAGUAAACAGACGCCUCGGUGGAAGAUUACUAAUGAGAGUGGCGAACGGGUGAGUAACGCGUGAGCAACCUGCCUAUGACAGUGGGAUAGCCUCGGGAAACCGGGAUUAAUACCGCAUAAAAUCGUAGAAACACAUGUUUUAACGGUCAAAGAUUUAUCGGUCAUAGAUGGGCUCGCGUCUGAUUAGCUAGUUGGUGAGAUAACAGCCCACCAAGGCGACGAUCAGUAGCCGGUCUGAGAGGAAGAACGGCCACAUUGGAACUGAGACACGGUCCAAACUCCUACGGGAGGCAGCAGUGGGGAAUAUUGCACAAUGGGGGAAACCCUGAUGCAGCGACGCCGCGUGAACGAAGAAGGUAUUCGUAUCGUAAAGUUCUGUCCUAUGGGAAGAUAAUGACAGUACCAUAGAAGAAAGCUCCGGCUAAAUACGUG
rnacentral:rRNA from 1 species